CCUACGGGGGGCAGCAGUGAGGAAUAUUGGUCAAUGGACGGAAGUCUGAACCAGCCAAGUAGCGUGCAGGAUGACGGCCCUAUGGGUUGUAAACUGCUUUUGUAUGGGGAUAAAGUCAAUCACGUGUGAUUGUUUGCAGGUACCAUACGAAUAAGGACCGGCUAAUUCCGUGCCAGCAGCCGCGGUAAUACGGAAGGUUCGGGCGUUAUCCGGAUUUAUUGGGUUUAAAGGGAGCGUAGGCCGGAGAUUAAGUGUGUUGUGAAAUGUAGACGCUCAACGUCUGACUUGCAGCGCAUACUGGUUUCCUUGAGUACGCACAACGUUGGCGGAAUUCGUCGUGUAGCGGUGAAAUGCUUAGAUAUGACGAAGAACUCCGAUUGCGAAGGCAGCUGACGGGAGCGCAACUGACGCUGAAGCUCGAAGGUGCGGGUAUCGAACAGGAUUAGAUACCCGGGUAGUC
rnacentral:rRNA from 1 species